rnacentral:rRNA from 1 species
GUGAGGAAUAUUGCGCAAUGGAGGCAACUCUGACGCAGCCAUGCCGCGUGCAGGAAGAAGGCGCUACGCGUUGUAAACUGCUUUUAACCGGGAAGAAACCCCAGGACGUGUCCUGGGUUGACGGUACCGGAGGAAUAAGCACCGGCUAACUUCGUGCCAGCAGCCGCGGUAAUACGAAGGGUGCAAGCGUUAUCCGGAUUCAUUGGGUUUAAAGGGUGCGUAGGCGGAGCGUUAAGUCAGUGGUGAAAUCCUGCAGCUUAACUGUAGAAUUGCCAUUGAUACUGGCGCUCUUGAGUGCGCUUGAAGUGGGCGGAAUGUGCCGUGUAGCGGUGAAAUGCUUAGAUAUGGCACAGAACACCAAUUGCGAAGGCAGCUCACUAAGGCGAUACUGACGCUGAGGCACGAAAGCGUGGGGAUCGAACAGGAUUAGAUACCCUUGUAGUCC